UGGGGAAUAUUGGACAAUGGGGGCAACCCUGAUCCAGCCAUGCCGCGUGAGUGAUGAAGGCCUUCGGGUUGUAAAGCUCUUUUGGCGGGGACGAUGAUGACGGUACCCGCAGAAUAAGCCCGGCUAACUUCGUGCCAGCAGCCGCGGUAAGACGAAGGGGGCUAGCGUUGUUCGGAAUUACUGGGCGUAAAGCGAGUGUAGGCGGUUGCCGUAGUCAGGUGUGAAAGCCUUGAGCUCAACUCAAGAAAUGCACUUGAUACUGGGUGACUAGAGGACCGGAGAGGAUAGUGGAAUUCCCAGUGUAGUGGUGAAAUACGUAGAGAUUGGGAAGAACACCAGUGGCGAAGGCGGCUAUCUGGACGGUUACUGACGCUAAGACUCGAAAGCGUGGGGAGCAAACAGGAUUAGAUACCCUGGUAGUCCACGCCGUAAACGAUGGGUGCUAGACGUUGGCGAGCUUGCUCGUCAGUGUCGCAGCUAACGCGUUAAGCACCCCGCCUGGGGAGUACGGCCGCAAGGUUGAAACUCAAAUGAAUUGACGGGGUCAUAGCUGUUUCCU
rnacentral:rRNA from 1 species